UAAUUCCAGCUGCUGGACCUGAGGUGGGGGCUUCCAGGUGGUGUGGGAAGUGAUCACCAUGUGAAAUGUUGAAGAAAGUUGAAGAAGUAUCAGGAGAUGAGACAUCAAACAUUUGUUGUUUUUGUUGGGUGAAAGCCUGAUGAUCCCGUCAUCCCAGGAAUGUUAUGAAAGCAAAACUUGGAAUUAAUUAAAGGUAUAAUUGGAAGAGUGAAACUAGCUGAAUUAAUGCAAAAGCAGGAAAACGUUAAGUGUUGCGUCUCGCGGGGAAUCAAAAGAGACAGUUCUGAGUGAGAAAAGCAGCGCAGACGGGUGAUCGUCGGGCAGGUGUUACUCAACGCUUUCGGGGAACUGGCAAAUCAUCAAAAGAAGAUGUAACUGGAAUCGACUCUUUAAGAGAGAAUCAGACUCAAACAUUUCAGGUGAGGAGGAUCUGUUUAAUGUGUCAUCUUCACUCCUCAAGCAUAAACCUGCCGUUGAGCCUGACAAAGAGCUGCAGCUCCUUAACCAGUGGCACAGACAGGAGGAAAAUCUGGUUUCAAGCACUUAGAAACCGCAGCCGACCAGGAGGGGUGCUUGUCCUUCUGGACAAAUGAGCUUCUUCCCAGAUGUUUCCUUCUGCUCUUGGAAUAAGUCAUCCACAGAGAAAUAAGUAAAUAUUGAGACCUGGAGAUUAACAGCUGCAAGGUGGUAAGGAAGAGCUGCUUCUACUGUUUCUGAGUUGUAGCUGAGCAUGAACAGUCUUU